UAUUUUAUAAUAAUUAAUUGUUAGAAUUGCAUUUAUUUUAAGAAAAUAAAAAAU
rnacentral:tRNA from 1 species